AGGUGGGGAGAGGGGGAGGAGGGGGAGAAGGGGGGGAGAAGGGGGGAAGGGGAGAAGGGGGGAAGGGCAGGCCCCUGUGGCGGAGACGUGGCUGAAGAUUUGGGGCUGGCCUCCCGGGCAGGGCGGGCUUCCCAGCUCGGGGUAGGGUGGGUGGGGGGCCUUGGGGAAAAAGUCCUCAGGUCUGGGAGGUUGGCCUGUCCCUCCCUCCAUCAGUCGCUGAUGCCUCAGGGGUCUGACGCUGGUGCAGGAGGCUGGGAACGCCCCAAUCCAUCCCCAUUCCCACUAUCUCUCACCCCUGUUCAUGCUGCUCCCCAUCUCUGUGAGGAGACAGGACCCGGAGCUGUGCCAGCUGGGCACAGUAGAUCGGGUGGGGGGAGCCUAAACCCCCCGGGGCCUACCUCCAGUCAGGCUCUAAGGGGUGUUGGCCUGCAGAGAUGCCGGAUUAAAUGUCUCAGUCCAGAGCUCGGCUUUUCUGACCAGGGCAGGUUCUCGUGGAGCCAAAGGGAAAGGGUUUUAAGCUGAAGAGAGAGCGACAGCCUGUCUGGAAGAAAGCUGGAAUUCAAAUCCCAGCGGUUCCCUGACUCCCUCCAUCCGCCAAAACCUUCCUGUGGAGCCACAGGCAGAUGUGAGCUCAGUAUGAAAGAGGACAGAAGAUGCCUGACUCAGCACCUGAGGUCCCUCUCCGACAUCUGGAGUCGGAAGUCAGGCCUCUCAAAGAAGAUCCUUAAUAGCCUCACCAUGUGGCAGGCACUGUUUGGGGUAUCUCGAGAGCGACAGAUGCCCGUUUUUUGACCUUGUGGGGGCAGUGUCACUGAUUCAGCAGAGGAGCUAGAUCCAGGUGCAGGAUGCCUGUUCAAGGUCUGUGCAGAACCGUGGACGCAAGGAGGGGAGGCUGCAGCCAGGGCACCUGCUGUGGGCUGUUGUCAUUGUUUGCGUUGGAACAGGGAGAGGGGGGAACCCAGCUUAACUCUUUCGGAAACGUUUUGAAAAUUCUACCUUGCCUCUUUUACCAGCACAGCCACAGGUGCAUCGCAGAAUGUGGACUAAGAACAGCCAUCCUGGCCUUCCUGCAGCAACAUGGUGGUGGCAUUCUUUCCAACCGGGGAAGGACAUUUUCAAAAGUAGAGAAUUCACCUGCGAUCCUGUUAUGCUUAGGUUUCUCUGUUUUGUCCGCUUUCCAUCUCAGAUAUUCUCCACGUAUGUAUUUUUUACACAAUGGUUUCAGAGGCUUAUGUGUAAUCAGGAUGUGCACAGUUUGAGUCUGCUUUUCUCACUUAGUGCAAAUGCGCACUUUGCUAAGUUGCUUAAUUUUCUAAUCCCUUAAUUUUGAAUAUUUAGGUGGUUGGUAGUAUUUUUUUCUUUUCUUUUCUUUUUUUUUUUUUUUUUUUUUUUGCUGUUACAGAAAUUUGUCCUAAAUGCACUACAACCUUUUCUCACUGUUUUCAGGGCAUAAAUACCCUCGCGAUGGUCAAAGGCUAUGAAAAUUUUCAUAGUUUGAUACAAAUGCUUGCACUGAGCAGUAAUUAUCAGGCACUGAAGGAAGUCAGAGGUUCGUUGCAAUCUGGUUAGAGAUAUUCAUCAGUAAAAAUGUAUUUUUCCACUUCGCUAGAUUAUGAGAUGAAAUGGUACCUCAUUUUAAUUUACAUUUCCUUGAAAACAGUAAGAUCGGAAAUCUUUCCAAAUGUAAUUCCUCUUAUGUAAACUGCCUAAUUAAUAUAGCCUUCAGAUAUUGAGCUAUUAUUUUAUAUUUCUUUUUUUUUUUUUUUUGUCUUUUUGUCUUUUAGGGCCUCACCCACAGCAUAUGGACAUUCCCAGGCUAGGGGUCUAAUUGGAGCUGUAGCCGCUGGCCUACACCACAGCCACAGCAACGUGGGAUCUGAGCUGUCUGCGACCUACACCGCAGCCCACAGCAAUGCUGGAUCCUUAACCCACUGAGUGAGGCCAGGGAUCGAACCCGAGUCCUCAUGGAUGCUAGUCGGGUUUGCUGAGCCACGACGGGAACUCCUAUUUUAUAUUUCUUAUUAAUUUGUAUGAACGAUUCAUCCUUGUCACAAUUGCUUCAAAUAUUUUUCCACUCUUCUAGCUAUUUUUAAUUUUUGGUUUUACAUUUUCAUAGUCAAAUUUGUUGGUCCUAGCAAGUUUCAGGGUUUAGAAUGUUACUUUCUUCUUUCUAAAAACAUCCAAUUCUAUUCUUGUUAAAAUUCUGUAUCCUCCUUUUAAAUCCACCUAGAGUGUAAUCUUUUUAUUUAUUUAUUAAAAAAAUUUUUUUCUUGUCUUUUUAGGGCCAUACUCAAGGCAUAUGGAGGUUCCCAGGCUAGGGGUCCAUUCAGAGCCGUAGCCACCAGUCUACACCACAGCCACAGCUAUAGCAACACGGGAUCUGCGCUGCAUCUGUGAUCUACACCACAGCUCAUGGCAAUGCCAGAUCCUUAACCCACUGAGUGAGGCCAGGGAUGGAACCCACUUCCUCACGGAUACUAGUUGGGUUCAUUACUGCUAAGCCACGAUAGCAACUCCCUAGAGUGUAAUCUUUUUUCCUCCAGAUUUCUGUCGAACUUUCUCAACAUCAUUAAAUUAAAAAACAUUUUUUAAAACACCCCACAGUGUACUGAUGUUGAAUUCAUAAUGUACCCGCUUCUGGCCAGUGAGCAAAGGGGUCAGAUGGUUGUGUGAGAGUCUGGCCUCCACGUCAGCUUUGUGACCUGACCAUCGGGCACUGCUGGGCUCUGGUUCCCACAUCUUAGGGCGAGUGGGUUUAGAGAGAGCACUGGGGAAGGGCCCCCCCACUCCCUGUGGGGUCUGAGCAGGGCUCCAGUGCCCCUCCCCCACUGGCUCCUUUGCACAUAGUGGGUGGUGGGUGAUGGUUUGGAGGGGCUCUGGGAACCACCAAGAGGUCCUGGCCAUCUGGCAUCUCCUAGACUUGGUCACUGCAGGUCCCUGGGCCUGGAUCAGGG
rnacentral:lncRNA from 9 species